GGGCAGUAGAGGGGCUGGGGAGAGACAGUGAUUCCACCGCGAGAGAGUUUCACAAAAAACACCUUCUGGAGGGAACACACUUCCAAUAACUCUUGAUAACGCCAACACACACUCACACACACACGUUUGACUGCAGCGCCUCACAAUCUGCAGUGCAGCAACAUGAACACCUGCACGUGUGAAUCUGUUGAAAAAGAAAAGGACGCGUGAUGAAGUGGACGCUGUGGUCAGCAGUGAGCGGGUCCAUGGGCGGGUUGCAGACUGCUGGACUGGACUGUUUUCCAGCUCUCCUCACAGGCAGAAGAACCAGACAAAAGGUCACGAGCCGGCCGAUUGGCAGCUGGUAUUUGAGCCCGCCCCCGUUACCGCCAACCGCCGCCAUGACACCAACAAGCGCCGAGCGCUGUACGCUGCGUCCUCCACGCUGACAGGAGGAGCGUGUUGUUUAGCGUGGGGCUCCUCUUCCUCCUCCUCCUUUGAAUCUCAGAGAAGCCUUUUUUAACAGACUGUCAAAGUGCAUUAUGGGAGAUAUUGAAGAUCAAAUAAGUUGUUUAAGGCACUGGUUUCACUUCCUGGUUGUAAAGUCGUGCGUGUGUUGCAGAGCGAUUCACCUCCAGAACAACAGGUGGAGUCACGUGUUUUGUUGAAGACGACCUGGAGAGUCACGUCUUUGUGUGUGGAAGUCGCUGGUUGCUUUAUUUAUUGAUCAUAGACUUUAUUGCCCCGUGCAUCCACACUGCUGCUUUUCAUCACGGACACAUUUGUCCCGUAUUUUCCUCCACGACUUUGUUCCCUCGUUUGUGGAGAUCUCCCUCCAUGAAUCAGAGGCCAUCCGGCGUCCUCAUAGUCCGCCAAUGACGGCUUGUACAAGCGCUCAUAUUUAAAAGCUCUUCAAUCUGAUCCGUUCUCUCGUAAACGUUCUUCCUUUUAAUAACGGCCGUAUUGUGCUGUGAAAACGGAGACGUGAGACUCCGUAAAGGACGUAGUCAGAGACCAAUCACAGCCUGCUGCUGCAGGACGCUGCGUCGCUUUACACGCUGGUCUACAAAAAUGGGUCGACGCACGCAAGGAGGCGUGAAAAGACACGCAGGGGACACGCAAGGGACACGGGAGGGACACGGGAGGGGCUCUUGCGUGUCCCUUGCGUUUCUCUGAAAAUACAGAACUAUGAAUUAGGCUUUAGUUGUCUGAACUCGUAAAGACAGAAACCUGAGACUUAUGGCGAUAUGUUGUGUGUGUUGUGUGUUCAUACUGUACGAUGUGAGUCCCACAGCGUUCAGACGUAACAAGAUGCUAAAAGAAACACUUCUUUAAACGACACUAGGACAUUUCCCAGCAUCCCCUGCCCACACAUUACUCAGUAGCAUAUCCCCUGGCGCCUUCCUCCUCCUCCUCCUCCUCCUCCUCGUCCUGCCUUCCUUCCCUCCUUUCUGACCCUCCGCCCCCACUAAUGUCCCCGUGUCCCCGAGCUGGAGGAGGAGCCGCCUCCUCUUCACCUCCUGCUGUGAGGCUUCCAGCAGCCGAUGUUUGGAGUCGAACAGAAAGCCUCUUUAGCAUCAACACGUCCUCCCGGUAAAUAAAAAGAGACAAUUGUUUGGUGGCGUUGUGAUAGGACACACACACACACACACACAGACACACACAGAAAGUGGCAGUGUGUUAAACGGUUAUUUGCUCUGGCUGCCUGAGCCAAUAGGAUUCAACCAGCCGUGGAGGUGUGGACACACAGAGAGGCUUCGUCCCCGAUUAGACCGAGAGCUCAGAGCUGAGCCCGGGGAUUACCUGUGUGUGUGUGUGUAUGUGUGUGUGUGUGUGUGUGUGUGUGUGUGUGUGUGUGAGUGUGAGAAAGAGAACACAUUUGUGGAACUGCUGUUAACAUUGUGUGUUUGUGGAAAGCAUUGGUGACAUUUUUGUGCCAUAAAGGGCGCAGUGUCAAAAAUGUUUCCUGAAUUCAACAGUUUUGUGUCCUCUGACAUCACAGCGAGGGACUUCGACGUGUCUCACUUGACGUAUGUUGAGCUCACUUGGAGGUCUUAAGAUGCUCCAGCAAACAUUGAGCUGCAGAAAUGAGAUGAAUUUAUUUAGAAUCCAUGUAAAAGGUUGUUUCUCUACAGGGUUUGUAUAGAAGUAACAAAGUAGAUUAUGAGAGAUGAGUCGCUUUUUAAAUUCAACCGUCCUGUGAGCGAACAAAGGCAACUUUCAGCAGCUUAAUACCUCGUCCUACUUGAACUAGUGAGGCUUUAAUAUCUAACGUGACAUCGUUGAUGGUAAAGUGUGUUUGCAGAUGAAGACGUUGUCUCAGUGCUGAUGUCAGACUCUUCACAAGGCGAGAUGAUGAGGAGGCACCGCUUCACUAAAGGGGACACGCGCCUCACUUCCUUCCACUUUUUGGAUCGAGAUGACUUUUAUUAUUGUGGCAAACUCGAUGCAUUGUGGGUAAAUGCUGCAGGUGGAGGUCGUGCGGGGAGCAGCUUGUUUCACAAAGCGAAGCCCGAGGCAGCAGCUCGCCGAGCGCACGACGCCUCCGAGACUCAAAAAGCAGCGAUGUGUUGUGAGGCUCCUGAGCGCACGUGUGUGUGCGUUUGUUCUCGCUGGGAACCACGUGUGAGUAUACAUAUGUAUAUAUGUGUAUAUAUAUAUAUAUAUAUACACAUAUAUACAUAUCGCCAUCCCCCCCGUCGGCCGCCAUAAUGUCCACCCCCGUACUGUCGGCGCCGCCCCACCAUCCUUUUUAUAUAUACAUGUUGGUAUUCUACAUACAUGUAUGCACACAUGUUUAUAGGAUAUGAACAUACAUGUUCUUUGUUGCCCGUGUUGUCGACGUUUAGUUUUUUGCGGUUACUUGGCUCCUCCCCCCCGGCAGCAUGACGAACCAGAGGCUUCAGAGCGGCGCUCCACGACCCCACUGGUGACCUGACGAAGAGUCACAGCAGAACUAUGAAAAUGAUUUAUUUGAUAGUUUAAGAGACUUAUUUGGGUUUAUAAUGCGCCGUGAAGGCCGAGGAAGCAGCGCCGUGAAGAUCAAACAGAGUCACUGACUGAAACAAGUAGCAGAAGGAAUGAAGGGAAGUAGAAACGCGGCGUGCGGGUCACACACGUGCAACUGAGUCAGAAGCAAAACGAUUAUUUGAUAAAUACCAAUAGCUUCUCCAUAACCAGAGAGCGCCGCCUUCAGAAUAAAAGCCUCUCAGAUGACGACUAAUGAAUGAUGAAGAAUAAAAAUGAGAGCGACGGACUUGAUGAAGGACGUCUGCAGGGACGAAGAUCCACGGAACUAAACGCUGAGUGGGCUCUAAUAAUUCACAGUAGUCCUAUUAUUCCAGCUAGAGCUGCACAGCUGGUCCCUGGAGGGGCCCGCGGGGGGCGGGGGGUUCAGGAGCUGGUGGACACUCAGUGUUGCUCAAGGGCACUAUGGUGUGUGUGUGUGUGUGUGUCGGUAAAUCAUCUCUUUCAAAGAGCGUAAUUCAACCAGAUCUGCAAAAAUCAGCUGUUUUCCUCAUGUUUCCUUCUUCUUCUUCUUCUUCUUCUUCUUCUUCUUCUUCUUCUUCUUCUUCUUCUUCUUGCUUUUUCUGUGUGUUUUCCCAGGAAGAAAUAAUUGGCCCAGCCCCCCCGUCCCGCGGGAAGAAGCUGAUUUAUAUUCUGCAACAUGAACACACUCUCACUGCCCCCCCAAGAAAUCGAGUCCUCCUCUUGUUCUUCUCUCCCAGGGAAGCGUUGCCCCCUCGCACUCAGCAGCCAUCCACCCUCGCUGUGGUGGAGAAAAGAGGUGCAUUCUGGGAUUGUUCCCAGCAGGCCACAGCUCCUGGAGGUCCCUGAUUGCUCUUCAUGGAUCUCUUUUGUUCUUCAUGCAGCAGAAACGGGCCUCCCAGAUGAGCUCGCUGAGGAGGCGUUUUACGCCAAGCGCCAAACGUCCUCUAUUUUUAACCACUUAUUAUCUUUACACUGUAAAAAGUUACGUCUCAAGGCGUUCAACGCUCUCUCAAUGACGCAGAGAGUAUUCUUUAUGUCAAUGCUAAUGCUAACACGCUGCCUCAGGUGCUACAAUUUCCUCUGAACGUGUGAGAGCUGUUAGUCACAGAGCAAAGUUCACCAGCUGGUGGACCAGAGCAAAAGAAAUGAACGAAUCUCAUCACACGAUCAUCUCGAAUCACUGAUUUCAUAGUUUCAAUGUUGGUUCCUCCUUCGCGUUCCUGAUUAAUAAGUAAGAAACCUUCGUCUGUAGACGCGCUUCACCCUGAGAUAGAAAACAAUCACAGAUCAGAACCGUAACGACACGUUUCAAAUCCUCUCGUCCUUCUUUUCAAUUUUAUUUUAUAAAAUUUUAUUUAACAGUGCAGCUGUAAAGCUGUGGAGACGAGGAGGCCUCCAACCACGAC
ensembl:lncRNA